rnacentral:rRNA from 1 species
CGCCUUUUGAUUUAUUAACAUGAAAGGUCCUGCCUGCCCAGUGACACUGUUCAACGGCCGCGGUAUUAUGACCGUGCAAAGGUAGCGUAAUCACUUGUCCUUUAAAUGAAGACCAGUAUGAACGGCAAGACGAAAGCCUAACUGUCUCUCCACACUAGUUAAUGAAAUUGAUCUUUCCGUGCAGAAGCGGAAACACUAUUAUAAGACGAGAAGACCCUGUGGAGCUUUAAGUCAAAACUAGUUAUUUAAUAUAAUAUAGCUAAAACUUUAGGUUGGGGCGACCGUGAGGCAAAAUAAAACCCUCAAGAUAAAACAUUAGAAGGACACUUCAAACAAACAAAAAACUGAUAUAUUGACCCAUUAAUUGAUCAACGAACCAAGUUACCCCAGGGAUAACAGCGCAAUCCACUCACAGAGUCCUUAUCGACGAGUGGGUUUACGACCUCGAUGUUGGAUCAGGACCCCCAAAUGAUGUAACAAUUAUUAACGGUUCGUUUGUUCAACGAUUAAAGUCCU